GACGAACGCUGGCGGCGUGCUUAACGCAUGCAAGUCGAACGAAGAGCGAUGGAAGCUUGCUUCUAUCAAUCUUAGUGGCGAACGGGUGAGUAACGCGUAAUCAACCUGCCCUUCAGAGGGGGACAACAGUUGGAAACGACUGCUAAUACCGCAUACGAUCUGACCUCGGCAUCGAGGAUAGAUGAAAGGUGGCCUCUACAUGUAAGCUAUCACUGAAGGAGGGGAUUGCGUCUGAUUAGCUAGUUGGAGGGGUAACGGCCCACCAAGGCGAUGAUCAGUAGCCGGUCUGAGAGGAUGAACGGCCACAUUGGGACUGAGACACGGCCCAGACUCCUACGGGAGGCAGCAGUGGGGAAUCUUCCGCAAUGGACGAAAGUCUGACGGAGCAACGCCGCGUGAGUGAUGACGGCCUUCGGGUUGUAAAGCUCUGUUAAUCGGGACGAAAGGCCUUUUUGCGAAUAGUGAGAAGGAUUGACGGUACCGGAAGAGAAAGCCACGGCUAACUACGUG
rnacentral:rRNA from 1 species